GAUGAACGCUGGCGGCGUGCUUAACACAUGCAAGUCGAACGUCUAACCCACCUUCGGGUGGUUAUAAAGUGGCGAACGGGUGAGUAACACGUGACCAACCUACCUCUUACAUUGGGAUAACUCAGAGAAAUUUGAGAUAAUACCAAAUACUCCUUCUCCCUCGCAUGGGGGAGUCGGGAAAGUUCCGGCGGUAAGAGAUGGGGUCGCGGCCUAUUAGGUAGUUGGUGGGGUAAUGGCCUACCAAGCCCACGAUAGGUAGCCGGGUUGAGAGACUGAUCGGCCACAUUGGGACUGAGAUACGGCCCAGACUCCUACGGGAGGCAGCAGUGGGGAAUUUUGCGCAAUGGGCGAAAGCCUGACGCAGCAACGCCGCGUGCGGGAUGACGGCCUUCGGGUUGUAAACCGCUUUCAGCAGGGAAGAAUUUUGACGGUACCUGCAGAAGAAGCUCCGGCUAACUACGUGCCAGCCGCCGCCGUAAAAC
rnacentral:rRNA from 1 species